GUGAGUGUGUGUGUGUGUGAGACGUCUGUGAGUGUCUAAAUCUCUGUAGUGUGUGUGAGACAUGUGUGUGUGUGAGUAUCUAAAUCUCUGUAGUGUGUGUGUGUGUGUGUGUGAGAGAGAGACGUGUGUGAGUGUCUAAAUCUCUGUAGUGUGUGUGAGUAUCUAAAUCUCUGUAGUGUGUGUGACACAUGUGUGUAAGUAUCUAAAUCUGUAAACUGUGUGUGCGACGUGUGAGUGUCUAAAUCUCUGUAAAGUGUGUGUGUGUGAGUGUGUAAAUGUCUGUAGUAUGUGUGAGACGUGUGUCCCGAGUGUUGUAAACCUGGUCCAGGUUGAUUAGGGGGUCACACUGAGUACUUGUGAAACAGUGCAUAGCUUUAGGUGGCCUUGGCCCCUUCUUGUAACACCCCCUUUACAACAACAAAGAAAAUGCCAGCAUGAGGUUCGGUAAUCUGUUAUUAGUAACUUCAUACGGGGGAGGGCUGAGGUACGGACUGAGGACGUCGUGAAAAAACGGCCCUGAAACUUGGACACACUCAGCACUGCACGUUCAGUUUUCCUCGACAGUGGGCCGACGGAAAGCAGCCUGCCUUUGCCACUCCCCUUUAAAGGGCAACAUCAUCCCUCUCUGACCGUGUAAUUGAUGUUAUGGGGGAGAAUCUUGAGACUCUCGGUGUGAAUCGGAAACAAAAUAACUAUUGAGGGCGCUGGAAAAGGGCACCGGUCUGGAUUUUUACCCGAACUAGUUCACGCGCAGUCAAAGCGCGGGGCGGAAACGCCUUCACCGGACGCUGCUUGUCUUUGUCGACUCGUGCGGAUAAACGACAACUCUCCUGGCAAGAUGAACAGGAUAACGGGAAAGGCGAAAGAUGCGACUCUCAUUGAAAUGAGCCAGAGGGAUUCUCACAUUGGAGGUUUGACAUCUUCAUUCGGUGUGAUGAAGAAAGCUUUGACUUUAAGAAGCUGAAAAGGGCGGGAGGAGAGGAUGUGUCCUCAGGUAGUGUACUCAGGUAGUGUCCUCAGGUAGGGAAAUCAGCAGCCCAAACUCCACCACAUCAAUCUGGAUAAUGGGCAUCUGUGUUAGUGCUGAAGCCCUGGAAGAGGACGGGAUGUGUGUGUGUGUGUGUGUGUGUGUGUGUGUGUGUGUGUGUGUGUGUGUGUGUGUGUGUGUGUUGUGUGUGUACGAGAGAGAGAGAUAGAGAGAGAGUGGUGUGUGUGUGUGUGUGUGUGUGUGUGUGUGUGUGUGUGUGUGUGUGUGUGUGUGUGUGUGUGUGUGAGAGAGAGAGAGAGAGAGAUGGAGAGAGAGAGAGA
rnacentral:lncRNA from 1 species